UCAGCAAUGGCUGUGGUGUUGCUCAGCAUACACACAGCUCUCUGGACCUUGGCCAGGUCGCCACCAGGGACCACAGUGGGAGGCUGGUAAUUAAUGCCAACCUUGAAGCCAGUGGGGCACCAGUCCACAAACUGGAUGGUACGCUUGGUCUUGAUGGUGGCAAUGGCAGCAUUGACAUCUUUGGGGACCACAUCACCACGGUACAGCAGGCAGCAAGCCAUGUAUUUACCAUGGCGAGGGUCACAUUUCACCAUCUGGUUGGCUGGCUCAAAGCAGGCAUUGGUGAUCUCUGCUACAGAAAGCUGUUCAUGGUAGGCUUUCUCAGCAGAGAUGACAGGGGCAUAAGUGGCCAGAGGGAAGUGGAUGCGAGGGUAGGGCACCAGGUUGGUCUGGAAUUCUGUCAGAUCAACAUUCAGGGCCCCAUCAAAUCUGAGGGAAGCAGUGAUGGAAGACACAAUUUGACCUAUCAACCUGUUUAAGUUAGUGUAGGUUGGGCGCUCAAUGUCGAGGUUUCUACGACAGAUGUCAUAGAUGGCCUCAUUGUCUACCAUGAAGG
rnacentral:lncRNA from 1 species